GGAAAAGGAAACAGCAAAUGAGGGUGAACAGUUGCUGUCCUGACCACAGCCAAGUCGCUGGAACUGUGCCAGGUCUUUGGAAGCUCGUUAGUUCUUGCUAAUUAAGGUGCAAUGUGAAACACUGUUCUCCUCAAACAAACACCAGGGUUUUGAGUUCAAACUAGAAAACCUACAUCCCGAAGUGCGAGCGGGCACCAACUCAAAGGAGAAAGAUAUUUUUGUGUGCGUGUGAAGAAGAAAACUCCUGCACGGAAUUGAAAAAAACACGCGCCGCCCACCAGUUUUACGUGGUUACUCACUCGCAGGAACCCUCCUAUGUAAAAAUCGCGGGGUUCUGUGCCAGCCGUGCCAGGGAACACCGGUCCCGUGUGUCAGGGGGACAGUUGCACUGUGGAUUCUGUGAUGCUGCUGACCCACUCUGGCACCCGGUUCCCAUCAGCACUGACAGUCCUGGGCCAACACUCUCCUGUGGAAACCUGCAGUCCCUGCAGGAGUGAGACACAGGCACCACUCCACACUGCUAAUGUAUCUGCAUUUUUUAAUUACUUCAUUGUACUGGUUUACAUCCUUCUUGAAAGAUGGCUUUGUUGCUUGUCUCAAAUGUAAGCAGGGCAGGCUGCUGCUGCAAAAAAUAUUCAGCUUCUCCCUUAAAGCAUUUCUUUGGGAGGGUGAUUCCAGCAGGCAGGAAUAUAGUUUAUAUUCUGUUUAUAGUACACUUCCUACUUCUCACCCCUACCCCAUGGCAAAGGCGAGAGGCAGCUUGUCCAGCUCCUCCUCCUGAGCAUGUUUUGGGGUAAAGCCCCUCCACUUUCCCUUCCCUUCUGCAAAUUUUUGCCUCAUAUGGUGCCCACGCUUGCAUGUUUCUGUUUACCUUGAAUCAUGUAUUCCCACCACUUGCUGAGGAUUUUACCUGCCUAGAACAGGGCUUUUGUAUCUCUGGCAAAUUCCAUAUGGAAGCAUGGCCUCACAUCUCGUGCGGUUUGUAGAGAAAGGGCCCAACAUGCUCUGCCCUGUACAGUCACAGAGAAUCUCUUCCCUCUGUGUGUAACAAGUCCAGUGCAGCCAGGACAGGCUGGGAUCAGCAGUGCACGUGGAUCAUCUGCACAGCUCAGGCAGAGUGUGGGACAUGUCCCUCAGGCCUGGCUCUGCACCCAGCAGUGCCAUCAGGGUGCUCUGCAGCUUUGGGGGAAUUGCUUUCUAUAGCCAGCACAGGACUGGAGCUACUGCUGCUGGACUAGUCCUUGUCCAGGGACCUUAGGAAGGUGACCAAAGUCCACCUUUUCCUUCAGAGAAAAAAAAAAAUGUCUGGGAAAUCCCAGACAUAUGGUAACCCUAGUUAAUUUGGUGGGAUCGUGGUGGUGUUGCAGUAUCAUGAAUAUUCAGUACUAUAAAUUGGUAUGUUAUAUUAAGAUAUAUACAGAUUCUAUUUAUAUGUGAAACAUACUGUGCCUGAAAGUACUGAAUACACUGAUCUGAAUUUCCUUGAAAGUGACAUCUUUUUUCUAUUUUUAACCAGCUUCAGUUUAAAUAUAUGCAGAUGUUUCUUAGUUGUACUCAGACUGUUGUUUCUGUUGAGCUCUGAGUGGGGAAGACCAGGGGGCACCAGAAGGAAAGCUGGCUGAAGGAGAACAGCUCUCUUACUGAGGAGCCUGAUAACCUUACUUCUAUUUCACACGUGAGGAGACUCCAAGCUACCUUGCUUAUGAGGCAGAGUGCAUGAUACAAACCACGUCUCCUUUCUGACUGGAUAGUGCUUAUCCCUCUUGAUCAUUGCUUUGGACGUGGCAGGAGCUGAUCAUACUGCUUGAGACAAGCCAUACAACUACAUUUGUAGUGACUUUUGCGUUGGAAGGGAUUUGCUGUUCUGCUCGAAGGAACAGUAGCAGUGAACCUGCUGACACGGAUGGAGGCAGAUGGAUGUGGGAAUCCCUAGGACUGCUGCUCCUCUUUACAGCACAAACCUGGGUCAUCCAAGCGCAAAAACAAGGAAAAACUGGUGAACGAGGUGAACAAGCAAAGGAAUCUAGGUCUACCUUGACAACGGGAUAUUAAAUUAAUUUUCUUGAUAUAAAUGACCAAGGGGUACAUGUAUUGAAACCUAUUUGGCAUCCAGAACUUCCCCUUGCUUGAACUGCAGCGCUGCUUGUGCAAGGCACACAGGAUCAGACCGACAAUGCCGAGCUCGGAUUAUAGUAUUACAGUUGUAUUCAUGGCUAAGAACCCAGUGUAAUACUCUGAACAACUCCUUCUCUGCUGAGCAGAGGGCAGCUGCAAGAGUCAAUAUCGUCUUGUCUUUUGUAUUUUAAUUAUAUUCUCCUCAGCAACAAAAUCACUGUAAGGAAGAGAGAAAGUGUAUUCUGUCUUUUACAUAAUGAUGCGACUAAAAAAAGGUCAACUGGUUGGUGAAUACUAAUGAGGGUAUCUAAAAUGGGUUGUGUUCACUGUGCUCAAAAGCAGAUAAAUACAAACAUUGAUUGGCUUCUUUUAACGUUUAUUAAAAACCAAAGAUGCUUUUGUUAGUAUGGCAAAUGCAAAAGUACUGUAGGAAAAAUGUAAUAGCUUUUAGGAAUGCAAGAUAAUGUCAGAGGGAUAAUAGUCUUUAACGUAUAUCUCAGGUGAUACAUUUAACCCAUUAAAUCUCUUGUUAUGCAGGACAGUUCCCACCGUCAUGAAACACAGAGAGCUCCUCUGCUGCUCUUGUUCUGUAUUAGUAUUUUGACAAGAUGCCAGAAGGCAAAAAGCUCCUGAGAACUGUUUGAAAAUAGAGCAA